GGAGACCAGCCUUGGCUGGACCACUUCCACCCCAGAGGCUCUUCACCGCCUCCCCAUCCAGACCCAAGGUUCCCUAGUGGUCCAGACGGUUUCCUUGGCAGCGCUGGCACCAGAGACAAUGUUUCACCAUGUUGGCCAGGCUGGUCUCGAACUCCUGACCUCAAGUGACCCGCCCGCCUUGUCCUCGAAUAGUGCUGGGAUUACAGGUGCGACCCACCACACCCGGCUGCAAUGUUUGUUUUAAUUACUUUUGGCAAGUAUUUCCUGAGUACCCCGAGCGUGCCAGGUGAAGAGAGACGGAUAAUAACAGCGCUAGCCAGCACGUAUUAAGCCUUGCAAAGCUGCACGGGCAUGAACUUGUGGCUUCAACACAACCUUAUGAGGCCCACCACAGCUGCCAAACAUGAGGUGAUGGGACAGCCCUCGUGGCCUCCACCCACCGCCCUGGUGGAGAAGUGAAACAUGAACCCACCAGUGCAAGACAGAGGAAGAGGCACCAGCGAAGUCACACUAGGGAGAAUCCACAUCAGCCUGGCCAUGCAGGGGAGGCCUCACGAAGCCCUGGGAAGCCAGAGCAAUAAAACUCUUGUUCAAACAAACGAUUACAGUGGUAAGACACGAAAAGGAAGCUGUUCCUGCUGAUGAAGGGUGAGAAACCUGGAGCCUUCCCUCCCUCCACGCCACGUGGCAGACACCUCAGGGAAUGCUGGGUCUCAGGAGAACAUGCCGAUCCCGUUAACACACAGUCUUCAUAUGAAACCAUGUGGGAACUCAACACAUGCUGUCUCCUCUCUAACCUGAGAUCCUGGCCCUGUUCCACAAAGCGAGGCAGCCUCUUAUAUACCCCUCACAAACCAAGUACUGGGGUGGUGGCCAAAGGGGAGAGACAGGCUAGGGUGUGGGUGGGCCGAAGAAAUCUGAGAGGGACAGGAGCUGCGGUGGCCUGGUCUCUGAGCCUGCAGAGGCUCCCUUCCAGAGAGAGAGCUUGGAACUCAGUCUCUGCCUCCCUCCUUCUCUCCCUCCCUCCAGCAGAACUGCCCUGCCCCAGGGGGUUCAUACCUCGCUAGUCCCCUAGGCCUACACCUUUCCUAAUCUUAGGAGAGACAUAAGAAAAGGAAUCUCUCCCCUUCCCCGCAGAAUACUUUUUUUUUUUUUUUAAACAGGGUCUCUCUCUGUCACCUGGCUGGAGUGCAGUGGCGCAAUCAUGCUCACUGCAACUCUGCCUCCUGGGCUCAAGUGAUCCUCCCACCUCAGCCUCCCAAGUAGCUGGGACCACAGGCAUGCACCACCACGCCUGGCUAAUUUUUGUAUUUUUUGUAGAGAUGGGAUUUCGCCAUGUUGCCCAGGCUGGUCUCAAACUCCCAGCCUCAAGUGAUCCUCCCACCUAGGCCUCCCAAAGUGCUGGGAUUACAGGCAUGAGCCACCGUGCCUGGCCCACAAUACUUUGGUAUAGUUGCUUCAAGCCCAGAUUCUGGUUCUUCGCACAGUCAACCUAUAGGGUGCCCCCCCACCGCCCCCCCCAUAGUCCUUGAUAGUCAUGCUGGGUUAGUUUCUCUAACCAGAGGAUGGGCCCAUUCUUCGCUGUGAGAUGGUGUGUGGGGACAUCGGUAAGGAACAAAUAAAGACUUGGGCAAAUAACUUUAUUCUGAGGUUGGUUAUCUCAGCCACAGGCUGAGCAUCAUAGUACCUAUUCCGCAGGGCUAUUUGGAGGAUUAAAUGAGAUAAUGUGUAUCAAAGCCCAACAUGACAGGAGCUCAGCGUAGAAGCAGUUCCAUACCAGAAAAAAGGAUGGCUUUGUCCCUUAGGUGUCGUGUCACCUCAGAUAAGGCAUUUCCCCUCUUUGAACUCCAGUUUCCUCAUUUGUAAAAUGAGCAUGUUUAAAAUUUUUUUUACUUAAAAAAGGGGCAUAUUAAUAUCUACCCUUCACAGUUGCUAUAAGUAGAGGCGAUUCACAUGACGUGGUUGAUACCUGGCACAAAGAAAGUA
rnacentral:lncRNA from 10 species